rnacentral:rRNA from 1 species
GAUGAACGCUGGCGGCGUGCCUAAUACAUGCAAGUCGAGCGAACAGAUGAGGAGCUUGCUCCUCUGACGUUAGCGGCGGACGGGUGAGUAACACGUGGAUAACCUACCUAUAAGACUGGGAUAACUUCGGGAAACCGGAGCUAACACCGGAUAAUAUAUUGAACCGCAUGGUUCAAUAGUGAAAGACGGUUUUGCUGUCACUUAUAGAUGGAUCCCCGCCGCAUUAGCUAGUUGGUAAGGUAACGGCUUACCAAGGCAACGAUGCGUAGCCGACCUGAGAGGGGGAUCGGCCACCCUAGAACUGAGACACGGUCCAGACUCCUACGGGAGGCAGCAGUAGGGAAUCUUCCGCAAUGGGCGAAAGCUUGACGGAGCAACGCCGCGUGAGUGAUGAAGGUCUUCGGAUCGUAAAACUCUGUUAUUAGGGAAGAACAAAUGUGUAAGUAACUAUGCACGUCUUGACGGUACCUAAUCAGAAAGCCACGGCUAACUACGUG